GUAGAGAGGUAGAGACAGGUGGAGAGGUAGAGACAGGUGGAGAGGUAGAGACAGGUGGAGAGGUAGAGACAGGUAGAGACAGGUGGAGAGGUAGAGAGGUAGAGACAGGUGGAGAGGUAGAGAGGUGGAGAGGUAGAGAGGUAGAGACAGGUGGAGAGGUAGAGAGGUAGAGACAGGUGGAGAGGUAGAGAGGUGGAGAGGUAGAGAGGUAGAGACAGGUAAAGAGGUAGAGACAGGUGGACAGGUAGAGAGGUAGAGACAGGUGGAGAGGUGGAGACAGG
ensembl:lncRNA